rnacentral:rRNA from 1 species
AGUAAAAGUCGUAACAAGGUUUCCGUAGGUGAACCUGCGGAAGGAUCAUUAACGAUUGCUAUAAAUGCAAAGACAAAAACUCACUGCAUUGAACGAUCAAACUCCUGACGAGUUCAGGAAGGAUGGUGCCUCUCACGGCCAUCGUGGUCGUGUCGCUCUGCGCUGCGAACGAUGUAAAACAAACAACCGAUGGCCCCUCAUACAGUAUAAUAUCUCUCGCCAUGGUAUACAAGCCUGGCAUCUGGUACGAGUCUCUCGCAGUCUCAAAACCAACCUUACAACUCUGAGCGGUGGAUCACUUGGCUUGUGGAUGCUAUGAAGACCAUAGCUAAGUGUGAGAAUAGCAGCGAGCCGUCGCUAUAUACGCUGUCCCCUUCUUAUCACAUGUCGAAUGCACAUUGCGCCCCACCCAGUGGUCAGGCUAAACAACCUGCAGACAAAAGCCUGCUAGUUGGAACAAUGCUUAUGUGAAUGCCGUUUCGACGCGGAAUGGGACCAGGAGCGCAUAAGUGUGAGUACCAACUACUCGUGAGUAGUCAGGCUAGACCCUAUGGUGGGGCACUCCUAGUCGAGUGUGGUGGAUCGGACUCACAUCUCUUGUUGCGCGUUCGCGCGUGAUGGAGUUUGAGUUUCUUUGUUGCUGGUGGCAUUUGGGUCGACAUCAGUCGUGCCCGUAAACAACUGCCUUGGCUCGUGCCUCUGUCCGUAUACCUCCUGGAAGGAGCGUACAUUGAAGGCCAUAGCUGGCGAUCACUCUUGCGGCCAGGGCACUACUUCGGUAGUGCGCACAGGUCCAAAAGGAAUUGGUAAUACGAGAAUCAGGUCUCAAUACUCUGGCCGGCUUCUUUCUGCACACAAUCUGUGGAGUGGUGAUCACAUGGUUAUCGAGAGAAUUGCAUUAACCGUCUUUCUGGCAAGGCCCCGUCCGAGCCCCACCACUUUUGUAUGCACACACAUAUCAGACAGUGCCUUCUCUGACGAGAUCAGGAAGGAUGGUCUGAAAGAGUGUGUGUGUGUCAAAAGUAACAGAUUGGCCGGCAAUCUCGCAUCACAUCCGUAUGAGGAGUGGUGAUCAUGUGGUUAUUGAGGAAGCUACAUAACCGUUGCUCUGGUAAACGCUCUUGUUUCUCGUAGUAUUCGAGUAUGACACGAGGUUUACCACUUUUGCUCGCACACAUGUGUGACUGGCUUUGCUGGCACACAUGAGGACAAGGAAUGACCGAACGCCUGACGAGAUCAGGAAAAGGUGCGUCAGAAGUAACCGAGCGGCCGAGUCUCACAUCACUCCGCUUAUUGUACUGGUUGGUUGUCUGUCUGUUUGUCUGUCUGUGCGACGUGGUGAUCACAUGGUUAUCGAGAGAAUUGCAUUAACCGCUUUUCUGGCAAGGCCCCGUCCGAGCCCUACCACUUUUGUAUGCACACACAUAUCAGACAGUGCCUUCUCUGACGAGAUCAGGAAGGAUGGUCUGAAAGAGUGUGUGUGUGUCAAAAGUAACAGAUUGGCCGGCAAUCUCGCAUCACAUCCGUAUGAGGAGUGGUGAUCAUGUGGUUAUUGAGGAAGCUACAUAACCGUUGCUCUGGUAAACGCUCUUGUUUCUCGUAGUAUUCGAGUAUGACACUAGCUUUACCACUUUUGUUCGCGCACAUGUGUGACUGGCUUUGCUGGCACACAUGAGGACAAGGAACGACCGAACGCCUGACGAGAUCAGGAAAAGGUGCGUCAAAAGUAACAGAGCGGCCGAGUCUCACAUCACGUCGCGGGUUGUACUUCUGUUUGUGUGACGUGGUGAUCACAUGGUUAUCGAGAGAAUUGCAUUAACCGCUUUUCUGGCAAGGCCCCGUCCGAGCCCCACCACUUUUGUAUGCACACACAUAUCAGACAGUGCCUUCUCUGACGAGAUCAGGAAGGAUGGUCUGAAAGAGUGUGUGUGUGUCAAAAGUAACAGAUUGGCCGGCAAUCUCGCAUCACAUCCGUAUGAGGAGUGGUGAUCAUGUGGUUAUUGAGGAAGCUACAUAACCGUUGCUCUGGUAAACGCUCUUCUUGUUUCUCGUAGUAUUCGAGUAUGACACGAGCUUUACCACUUUUGCUCGCGCACAUGUGUGACUGGCUUUGCUGGCACACAUGAGGACAAGGAACGACCGAACGCCUGACGAGAUCAGGAAAAGGUGCGUCAAAAGUAACAGAGCGGCCGAGUCUCACGCCACUGAACACGUUCACGUUGUACUUCCCGUGUGGAAAGGAUACUGACCAAUGAGAGAGACCUGAUUUCUUGUGUGUUUGUAAUUGCCACCACCUCGACUUAGGAGAGGUUACCCGCUGAACUUAAGCAUAUCAGUAAGCGGAGGAAAAGAAACCAAUCAGGGAUUCCCUUAGUAGGGGCGACCGAACAGGGAUGAGCCCAGCGCAGAACCUCCCGGGCCACCCGGCCUGCGGCGGAAUGUUGCGUUAAGGGAAAGGUCGUAGUCAAACCCCACAGCCACGCGAGCUCUAAGUAAGUCACGAAUUGGCUAUCCCAACUAACGGCGGGAAAAUCUCCACGGAGGGUGUAAGACCCGUGUGGGCGCGUGUAAAUGCUGUGUGGGCUCGGCCUCUUUUCCCUGAGAGUCGCGUUGCUUGAGCAUGCAGCGCUAAGCAGGUCGUAAACUCGAUCUAAGGCUAAAUAUGUCCACAAGACCGAUAGCGAACAAGUACCGUGAGGGAAAGUGAAAAGCACUCUGAAGAGA